ACAAUCUUCUUAAAGAGUCUUUUAAAUUCAAGAUUGAAGUAGCUUUUUGUUCUUUGAAGAACGUUUGUUCAUUCUUGAAGGACUAACUCACUUGCGCAUUUUUCAAACAUGCCAUGACUUUCUUUCAAUUGGACAUUUUGGAUUCAACAAGACCUUGGAAUUUUUGGUAGCCUAAAAUAUGGAAGGACAUUAAGGAAUUCAUAUUAUCAUAU
rnacentral:lncRNA from 1 species